ACAGGUGCAGGCGCCGGCGGGAGGGAGCCCCGCGGGCGCGGACCGUCCGAGUUGCCCGAGCGGGAGCGGCGGCGCCCGGGAGCCCGGGGCGGGCGGCGGCGGGCUGGGCAGAGGCGCUACGGCAGCCCCCGGCGGCCGCCCACGCUCCCGGCGGGCCCCGCCGCCGCCACAGCUGCCGCCGGAGUCAGCGCGAAGGCGGCAGCGGCCACCUCCGAGAGGAAGGAGGAGAGCGGCGGGGAGCGAGGGAGGGGAAAGCAGAGCGAGAGAGGAGAGAGAAACCGCCUCGAGAGAAAUUAAUCGUCACAUGACGGUCGCGAUCCGCCGCCGCCCCCCGACAGCCGGAGCCUCCGCCGGGGAGCCGGGGAAAAGCUGCGAGGAGGGGACACACCUGUAGGCGCAGCACAUAUCCGCUGCACUCCGCUAAAAAGCACCUCUGCUAAAAAGCAAAUUUCUCCCAGGAAGAUGCCAACAGGAGCUAGUGCAGAGCCUACUCCCUGCCUGCAUGUAAGCACAGCAUCACCUUGCUUUAGCAUUGCGAUCUUCUCCGCGUUCAGAUGUCAAAUUUGUCUCAACUGUAAGUAAUGUAGGGAUAAUCUAUUAAAAAGAGGGAUAUCUUAGAAGAAUGGCUCAGGUAAGCUUUGGGCAAGUUGUUUAGACAUUGUAGGUAGCUUUCCAUCAGUCAAAUGUGGACCAGCAAUGUUGCAAGGAGUAAUUAAUUAGCUGCUGUUGGCACUUUGAGUGCAGCUUCAUUAAAUGCUGUGUGCAUUGGGCUUCCCACUGAAACAACAGGAGAGAGCUGGUCCGAAAGCCAUGCUUCUCAAACGGCACCCUGGAAGUUGCUGAAAAAUUGUCAUUGCAUCUCAGAACGGCAACAGAUACCAAAUAAAUAAAAAUCAGCUCCAAAACCUGGGCAAGAGUAAGAAGUGAGAGGCUGUUGGAGGAGAUGUUAAAACCAUCUUUCAGACCUUGGCCGUGCAAAGUGCCGCCGCAGUCUUAGCGGUGGGUUGGGACCAUUCAAACGUAACGUGGUAUUUUGUGGGGUUUUCCCUCAGGGGUUGCACUCGGGAGGCAGAGUGCGCUGGCUGGGUCUCACCAGUCUGGCCCAGUUUUUGUGCUAACCUCCACCAGAAGGCCCUCGUCCCUGUUUGCCUCCUUCCUUUUCUUCACCUGACUGGGCAGAGUCACUGUGAGGUGGGAAAGAACAGCUCUGGUAUAACUGUGGAGCAUUUCAGAAGAUCCGGAUCCCCCCUCUGAACCUCUUUGCUUUCUUGCUGGAAGAGAGAAGAGGAGUCUGAAGAGGAGGGAGAUGGGACUUCCCUAGGAAAAUUGGGUUAAUCGCGUCCUGCAAGCCCUGGGAGGGAUCCAGGACAGGGAAACUCACAGGCUGCUAAUGGGCUUGAAACCUGCCCGUGGACAUGUACAGAGCCAGAGCAAUGGUGACAGUUUAUUUAAUUCUAAAGAGGAGCUGGUGAAGUGAAGCCAUGCUGAAUCCUUAUCCAGUCCGUAACAAUUACCUGCUAUGCAUUUGACCUUGCCGAGUGUGACAGGGAUUAUGAAGCUGAACUAGAGCUCAAGGUGGCCACACAGCAUCCCAUCCCAGGACAGCUGUCUUCUCUGCUAAGCCUCCAUAAGUUGCUGUUCUGCCAGGCACAUGUAGAUGUGCUAAAGCAGCAGCAUGGCAUAUCGGCCCGUGCUUCUGCCAGCUGGGGCCCAAACAUGUGCCACAGCACUUUUGUUACUGAAUUUAGUGCUGAAUUCAGCUCUUGGCCCAGUUGUGAAGGUGCAAAGUGUUCACAAGAUGGUCUUCUGCCUCCCGUCGUCCCUUCCUUGUCUUGGAGCCAGCACAUCGUCCUUCUCCCCUGUGGAGAACUAUGUGAUACGGGGUAAUACCUUCCCAGUGAACCCAGAUAAAGAGCUGCACAUCAAAACCUGCUAUUUGCAGCUGAAGGAUUAUUCCCCUUCCUUAUCACCACCCACCAAAAAAGAAAAAAAAAAAAGGUCAAAUCACAUGCUAAAUGCAGAAAUGCUUAGAAAAGAGCAAUAAGCAAAAGAUUGAAUGAUUAACAGCUUCCCAGACUCCUGGGAAUCUUCACUGCCGGCAUGCACUUCUUACACGUGCACCGUGUGUGGCUCAAGGGGGAAAGCCUUGCUCUCUCUCUUUCUCUCUCUCUCUCUCUCCAGUGUAAGGAUGCAGAUAAUGGGACUGCAUGUGAACAGGACUACAGUCCAGAUUUCAAUUUCCUAUUUAUUUCCUCGCUCUGCACUCUCUCCUCACCUUGUUACCACCCAUUCGUUGUUAUGCACGUCCUUCUGGUUUUUUUUCCCCUCUGCCUGUUAUUAUCUUUUACACUGGAUGCAACGCCUGUGCCUCUCUCCCACUUCCCCUCCCAGCGCCGUCAAAUCUCAAUUUUAUCUAGGGCGCAGCAAUACACAGUAUCCUUCCUACUGCCAAGACCUUCGAGGCCUGUAAAAAAGAGCCGAAUUUCCAGCUGUGAUUAUUAAAAACACCUUGUUCCGUGAGCAACAGGACUAAUGAAGCCAUGUUUCCUGUGGCUCUGUCUCUGACUCACUCCUUGCUAUAACCUCAUCUCCCGUUUCUCUUUCAUGUCCGAUGGUACAUCUCUUCUCGGUGGCGAAAGGCAGCAGCCGCUGUUGCUGGUCCAGAGCGGCACGCGUGCUGCCUGCGCAGCGCGGCUGCCUGCACUGCCGGGACGACUGGCUGCUGCCAAGCACAGCCCUUAACAGUCGAGUUCCUCCUGCAUCUCUCUCUGUUGGGAAACUAAUUUGAGUCUCUAGUCAGUGAUGCUCACAAACCCCUGGGAACUUAAUUAUCUUUGAUGCUUCUACCUCUUUUAUUCAUUUGUUUGCAACUAGCCAAUGUGUUCUGACGUUUUUAUGAGGGGCUGAUGGGCAGAUAAACAGCCAGAUGAUUGAUUAUCAGCCUUUAGGAAGGAAGGUUGUUUUCCUGUGGUCAUGGAGACAACCUGAGAGCAACCCAAACAGCUAAAAAAGAACCUCAAAUCCUUUAAAAUUAUUGCAAUUGCACUUUCUGUGUGCAGAAAAGUUUGAUUGUCUGUGUGCCCACAUGUCCGAGCAACCUCCUUACAUCCUGCUUGAGGGUGUCCUGCAUCUCAGCUUUCUUCUGAAGGGUAGGGAGGGGGAAGAAGGGAAGGAUUCUGCCUCAUGUAAGCAGCAAUGCGUCUGUCUGCUGUACCAGGCAACAGCUGUAGUUGAGAUUCAGUCUGCCCUCGCACUGCUGCUACCGCCAUCCUUUGUAAGAAAUUUAUAUCAAUAAUGGGAAUGGAAAGAGCACAAGAAGUAGGACACUACCUGAAUGGUUUUAGUCUCGUGGUUAAGAUACAAGCAAGGACUCUACAAGACUUUUUCACCCUCCAUCCGAUGUCUUUGGUUCUGAUAGGGCACUGCAUCAUCUUCCGCUAGUGCCUGAAAUGACCCAGAUAUACAUAUUUAUAUUUUUUACAGUCCAUAAAUCACCCUGGGAUCUACUUUUUCUGGAUGAAAAGUGCCAGAUAAAUCUAAGGUGUUGUUAUUAGUUUUGAGAAACGUCACUGUGCAUGUCCUGACUUUCAUGCCCUUUGCACCAAACUCAUGUGGCAGAUCAAUUUGUAUAUAUUUAGGUUUUUUGGGGUGUUGAUGGAUUUCUCAGUGCCCACUUUCCAAAAAAGCAGAAAAAAAUGUUUAAGGGUAAAAUAACCUAAGGUUAAUUGUGUGAUUCCCUUCAUUUUUCUCCUUUGGUGCUGGAAAAUAUUUGAACCACCUGGAGUAGGUGGUUUUUGGUAUUUUCUAACCAACCCUCACUUUAUACAUUUGUUUACCCCUGUGCAAAAUGUUACCCAGUCAGAAUUUUGCUUUCACUUAGUUUAGUGGCAUUUUCUGUAUACUUUGCUACAGAUAUAAAUUGCUGCACAAAGGUAUGAGAUAGAAGACCAGCAGGCCCUGGAUACAAUUUCCAUGUGGAAUCCGCAGAAGGCCUUAUAUGGAUGUGUGCAAUGUCUAUAUGCAUAUGUAGAACUAUUACAAGUAGCAGCCCUUGCAGUCAAGACUUGAUGUCCUGACAUUGCCCUGGUUGUACCCAAUUGUGUGUGAGCCUAGUUAAGAGAUCCUCGGGUAAUGAAGAUGUUCAUAUGGGCAAUGCUUGUAUUUUUUAAUGCUACCUUGAAUUUUCUGAGAAAUUUAAUUAAAAAAAAAUCAAAAUGUGAUAAGAAAUUUCAGCAGAAAGUUUAGUGUUGUUUCAAAAUGUAGCUAAAAUGAAAAUGAAUGUAAAAUGUUGACAACUAAUAUUUGGCCCUGCCCUUUUUUUUCCUCCUCCUUUUUUGUUUAAAUAGACCCUUCACAAACACACACACACACCUGUACAUCUAUAUAAACCAGCCUAACCAGCAUUUCCAACUUUAAUUAAAGGCAGCUGCCUAGCUAAGUUCCAAAGCCACUGCUUUGCUAUGACGAAGUAACAUUCAUUUUAACCACAGCCAAACUACUUACACUUGAUGGUAUUGCUAAUUCUGCAACUGGUUGGAGAACUGGCUAUUGGAAGUAGUUAAUUGCUAUGUGUGCUGCUAUAAAUAUAUCUAUAUUGUAGAAAAAAUAAUAGAAUCUCAUUAUCUACUAAUAUUUGAACUAGUAUUAUUGUGGAGAGCUAGGCUGUGGGAAGGCAAUUACAAGUAAGAGUACAUGAUUACAGUAUUCUGUUCAGAAGUGGAAAAUCAGAUUUAACUGUUUUAUCCUGGAAAUAAUUAAUCUUUUUACAUCAGUAACCUCAGAUAGUGUAUAAUUAAUAUUUUCCGAACAUAUAUUGCAGAAAUUUUGUGUUUAUACUAUUCAAGUGUAUCUGGACUAUAGUAUUUAAAUAUACACCUAAAAUAGUAGGAGUUUAAUACGGUACAACAGAGUUAGAGAAGCAUUUAUCAUUUUAAAAGACUUAGACCAAUCAGAAUUCAUCAAUGACACCUCAGUUAAGAUAGAAAAAUAAAGUAUUGACUACUAACACA